UGUCUUCUCCCCCGCUCUCGCUGCUCACGUGCCGCGCAGGUGAUCCUGAUGGGCCUGGUGGAGGGCUACCGUGUGAACGGCGGCCCGGCCGGCGAGGGCCUGGACCCGCUGUACCCCGGCGAGUCGUUCGACCCCCUGGGCCUGGCUGACGACCCGGACACCUUCGCCGAGCUCAAGGUCAAGGAGAUCAAGAACGGCCGCCUGGCCAUGUUCUCCAUGUUCGGCUUCUUCGUGCAGGCCAUUGUGACCGGCAAGGGGCCCAUUGAGAACCUGAACGACCAUCUGGCCAACCCGGCCGUCAACAACGCCUUCGCCUUCGCCACCAAGUUCACGCCCAGCGCGUAAUGUAUCGCUGCUACGUUUGCUAGUCGAAGCGGUUGUCCGCAUCUGCCGGCCGCUGCUGCCUUCAGCUACGUUACGUUGUUUAGCUAUGUGAACGUAGACACAACAUACCCAAUAAACUGCCAAUACCGGUAUACGAGACGUCACAUGCAUAGCAAUUGCAGGCAGUAGUUGCCUAUCCGUCGCUGUUGGGUAAAUACGCUUGGAUGCGCAGCUUGCCAAAACUGUUGAGUGAUGCGUGGGUGCUUGUCAGUUAUUUCCAUCGAACCUCGUUGUCGCACUGUGGCCACCUCUGUUUUUAAUGUCGUGUUCCUGCGAUGAGUUCCCGCGUGGUGAGUGGUGAGCAGCGGCGGAAGCGGUCCUGUUACGGGCCUGAAGUUUUGAUGUGGGUGUUUCCCAGUAGGGGUUUCCCACAGCACGGGUGUUGAGGUGGAGCUCUUACUUUUGGGUGGGGUAUUGGGCGGUGAGACGUGAGAUAUCAAGAGCUUCAUACAAAGCGCAUGCACGUGCUGGGUGCGUUGCGCCAAGCAAGCUCCUGUAACAUUUCGGUGUUCAUGACAUAAGGAAGGUCUCGGUUCCAGUGCUUGUUUCACCGCUUCUUGGGGCGGGAGCACAUACAGCCAUUUUGGUGGGCGCGUACUGCAAAGGCGGCCACGCAAACAGGCACACAUGGAGAACACGCGCGAGACACGAGCUAAAGGAACAUGUCAUUCAGAGGGAUGAUUCGAGGUGCAUAUGGCCACGCUCUAUCGCGCGAAAGAAGCCAAGGGUUAUCGUGGCUUUCCUGUGUUAGCGAAGUGAGCUAGGCGCUUAAUCGCGGGUUGAUGGCCUCGGUUGUCGUACAGUGCAAGAGUUAAACUUCAGCAAACCACGUUGGUAGGUCACUCCCCGCCGACAUCAUCACUGGCGCGGCAUAGGUCAUCGCCAAUCCCUCUAGCGUACAGCGGCCUCGGCCUCCGCGAACCAGGCUCGCUACCUUCCUCACAGCCAGGAACUACGUUGCCACUGGAAGGUACCCCGAUGCACCAAGAAGGCUUAUUGUGGCGCUCGCCUCGGGCUUAUGUGUCCCGUUUCGGAUAGCACAGCAUCAGCACCACGAAAAACCUGCCGAUAUGCAUAACAAAAAAUCACACACACACACCAACACACACACACAUACUUACAAACACAAACACACACAAACACAAACCACACACUCACUCUCUUUCUUUUUCUUGUCAUGCAGAAACACACAGACGCACACCCACACCCACACACAUGCACACACGCGCACACACAUGCACACACACACACACACACGCACACACACGCACAUACGCACACGCACACGCCACACUUAAGUCGAAGGAAAAAGGCACGAAGUCGGACUGGAGCCUUGUAAUGAGUGAUGCCGUUACCUGGAUUACAGUCCGGUGUAGAACCAUGGGACGUGCAAUGAUAUGGAGUCUUAAAAGCUCGGCAACCAGAUGGACGCCGCUGCAUGCUGGCUACUGCUUUCAGUAUCACCCUGGCUGGCAGGCCCCUUUCGAUCAGUUUCGCAUCCGCAAGGCCAGAGCAUGCAGCAUCGCCAAUGGUUUGACCACCUGCUCCCGUAACUUAAGAACCAAAUACCGAAUGCCAGUGCCAUGGGUCCAGUACUCCCCCAGAAAGGCAGGAUGACACACAAAUAGGCUACCCGCUGUCCCUUGUCUAUCUGGUACUGCCCCGCGACUUUAUGCAUAAAACUGCUGGUCACAAGAAGUUCUUCUUUGUUCCUUUCACAGUUCAAUUGGUAGCCUGAAGCUAAGCAUGCGUGGAGUGCUGAACAUGUAGCGUGCGUGGUGAAACCCCUGGCAAAAGAGGUAACAAACAGAGGGCGUGCUGGCGUUCCGUUCAGUACUUCAGAGGUCAAAGGCAAGCCAUGGGCAAAGUAGGAGCUUUUCCCAGGUGCCAGCCUUAGGCUCCGACGUUUGGAAGCCCGUGGCCGAUUGUAAGUUGCGAAGAGCUCAUGCGUUUGGUCGAGGCCGACCGUCCUCCCUUGAUCGGACGACAGGUUGCUACGCACGUGCUUGUUGCUUUCCUUCGGUCCUAAACGGCCUCCGGUUCGGCGCUGUCGCCCUUUUGCGGUCCAGCAGAGCUUGGACCUUGUGUUCACCGGCCCUGUCCGGGAUGGAAUGCCCUUUGCCGUCCUAAGCAGCGUGACCCAUUAUAUCAGCUUGCUUCCUAGCAAGGACAACAGCUACUGUCCUCCCGUCCUACGGUACUGGUAAUGAGUAAAGGCCGAACAGCUAGGGUCAAACAUGGAGAGACCACUUUUGGCGCCUAAAGAAUGCAUUGCAGUGCGUAUCAAAAUCCAUGUUCAGCGUGCACGUCACAGCAUUUAUACAGUCGCCACUGAGUUAUCCCUGCAUCAGAAACUUGUAUGAAACUUGCAAGCAGGUGUAGCAAAUCGUUCAUGCCAAUCUGUGCAAGUGCAGAUAGCUGUUAAGCGCAUGUGUUGCAGGUGUGCCAUGUCUGUAUCCUGCGAUCUCUGUUAGGUAAGCGCCCUGUCCCACGGACAGGACAGGGAUACGGCGUGCGUACGGCAUCAAGAUUUGCUUGCAAAACAAAAGCGCUGGUUGCCUGUGCUUUCAGUAUCAGUUCUCUCCUUUGUGCAGCAGAGUCUGAUCACCUUACGAACAUCUAAAAUGGCUUUCGCUCUCGGCACCUCGCGCGAGGCUCUGCAGGUCGCAUGCAAGGCGACCGGCAAGAAGGCCGCUGCUAAGGUCCGUUUUAUUUCGACACCAUUUAUUUUAUCAGCGUACCUUACAUAGACGCACAUACGUAUUUGCAGUGUCCUCUGGCUAACCAGAGACGUUUGUCCCGUUCGCAACAUCUUUACAGCCGGCUGCCCCCAAGAGCUCUGGCAUCGAGUGGUAUGGCCCGAACCGCGCUAAGUGGCUCGGUAGGUUAUCCUGGAGAUCCGAGGAGAUCCGAUAUGCAGCGGGUGUAGCGCGUAUCGGAGGGCCGGAAUAAUCGGUCGGUCUCCUGCAUGGUCCUCCUUUCGGCGCAACAUGCCGCAGCGUCAGGUUUCUGUGCGCAGGCUGCUCUCUCGGUCCUUUGCUGACAUCGCGCGAUGCAUGCUGCGAUGAAGGGCACAGGUUGCGUCUUUCCCCCUUUCGCGACCUGCCGUUCAGUAGCCCGCUGCCGCCGUAUGUCCGCUUUCCCCUUCUGUGCCCACAUCGGACAGGCCCCUACAGCGAGAAUGCCACCCCUGCCUACCUGACUGGCGAGUUCCCCGGUGACUACGGCUGGGACACUGCUGGCCUGUCUGCUGACCCGGAGACGUUCAAGCGCUACCGCGAGCUGGAGCUGAUCCAUGCACGCUGGGCCAUGCUUGGCGCUCUGGGCUGCCUGACCCCCGAGCUGCUGUCCAAGAACGGCGUGCAGUUCGGUGAGGCUGUGUGGUUCAAGGCCGGCGCUCAGAUCUUCCAGGAGGGCGGCCUGGACUACCUGGGCAACCCGUCGCUGGUGCACGCUCAGAACAUCGUCGCGACGCUGGCGUGCCAGGUGGGCGGGAGGGACGUGGCUGCAUGCUUAGGAAUGUGUCCGGUCGCCUUACUUGUUAGCUGGCUAGGUGAAACAAGGUGGGGCGCGGCAACUGUGCUGCCAGCCCUUGACUG
rnacentral:lncRNA from 1 species